ACCUUUCACAGAGGAGACCUGCCUAAGC
rnacentral:piRNA from 1 species